rnacentral:rRNA from 1 species
UACAGAGGGUGCGAGCGUUUAAUCGGAAUUACUGGGCGUAAAGCGUGCGUAGACGGUUACAUAAGUCGGGUGUGAAAGCCCCGGGCUCAACCUGGGAAUUGCAUUCGAGACUGCGUAGCUAGGGUGCGGAAGAGGGAAGCGGAAUUUCCGGUGUAGCGGUGAAAUGCGUAGAUAGUCGGAAGGAACACCAGUGGCGAAAGCGGCUCCUGGUCCAGCACCGACGUUCA